CGCAAUAUAGGGUAGAGGACGCGCAGCGUAUUCCCCCUCCCUUGUUCUGGUAGUUAGUUAGAGCAUGCCUGUGACCCAAGAUGAAACUAUCCCUAAUAGUGAAGCCAGAGGAACUCUGUGGAUCUCGCGCGUUUACGUGAAAUGGUCGUCAAAUUGGGUCUUGGCGGAGAAGCUAUUCGGCCACCUCAGUAGCUUUUUUUCUUUUUCGCUCCCCCGUUAUAACUACAACAUAAGCGGAGGAAAAGAAACCAACAGGGAUUGCCUCAGUAACGGCGAGUGAAGCGGCAAGAGCUCAGAUUUGAAAUCUGGUACUUUCAGUGCCCGAGUUGUAAUCUGCAGAGAGUACUUCGGCUUAGACUCCGGUCAAGGUCCCUUGGAACAGGGCGACAUAGAGGGUGAGAACCCCGUAUCCGGCCGUUUGUCGAUGCCAUGUGAAGUCUCUUCGACGAGUCGAGUUGUUUGGGAAUGCAGCUCUAAAGGGGUGGUAAAUUCCAUCUAAAGCUAAAUAUCUGCGAGAGACCGAUAGCGCACAAGUAGAGUGAUCGAAAGAUGAAAAGCACUUUGAAAAGAGAGUUAAAUAGUACGUGAAAUUGUUGAAAGGGAAGCGCUUGCCAUCAGAAUUGGGGUAGGUUGAUCAACGUUCCUUCUGGUUCGUGCACUCAGCCUGCAUCCAUGCCAGCACCAGUUGUGGCGGCAGGAUAAAGGUGGCGGGAAUGUGGCUCUCUUCGGGGAGUGUUAUAGCCUGCUGCGUCAUGCUGCCAGCUGCGACUGAGGACCGCGCCCUAGGCAAGGGUGCUGGCUUAAUGGUUGUAAGCGACCCGUCUUGAAACACGGACCAAGGAGUCUAACAUCUAUGCGAGUGUUUGGGUGAUUAAACCCAUACGCGAAAUGAAAGUGAACGGAGGUGAGAGCCCGCAAGGGUGCAUCAUCGACCGAUCCUGAUGUCUUCGGAUGGAUUUGAGUAGGAGCAUAGCUGUUGGGACCCGAAAGAUGGUGAACUAUGCCUGAAUAGGGUGAAGCCAGAGGAAACUCUGGUGGAGGCUCGCAGCGGUUCUGACGUGCAAAUCGAUCGUCAAAUUUGGGUAUAGGGGCGAAAGACUAAUCGACCAUCUAUUUUGCCAA
rnacentral:rRNA from 1 species